rnacentral:misc_RNA from 1 species
UAUUUCCGCCCAAGCUUUCUCGGACCCAGUAGCUGAAUAUUUCAUCUGUAGCUAGCUAAUUACCCUAUGAUUAACCGCAAAGCUUGACGCCAGUCCAACCCUGGAUGAUCGGGAAGCAAGGCUGCUCGAGUUAGGCUCUGUGAUUGUAAUUACGCCUCGUGGCAUAUCCGCACCCCAGUGACUCAAAUUCCAUCACACUCGAUUCUCGCUGUUCCUAGGACACAGGUGAUCGGACGACCCAGAUCUAACUGACAUAGGCAAACGGUAUGCGAUUGAUUCGCAGGUAAGCACUUAAGUAACCUGGAUGCGAAGAGGAGACGCAUCACUCAGUCAGCACUUGUGUAAAACCAGGAACACUAAAGGAUUGUACAGCUAUCCAUCUUCGUUGGACAUUAACUUUACAACAAUGGAAGGUAGCGGCCCUCUCGAUGGUGUGGUUAUUGAUUGGAACCUGCGCGUGGCAGCUGGAGUGAGUGGAAGAGUCGCUCCAGUGUAUAUACAUACAUCUGGGACCAGCCCAAAUCAUGGAUAGGAAGGGAAAGUUGAGCCAGUCACGUGACACAACGCGGGAAGGAGGAGGAGGAGGCGGACGAGAGGCAGGGAGGCAGUUUCUGUCCCCGGAAACAACAAACCUUGACAGGGCCCCAAGUUUACAUGGAUUACACGCUCAGAGCUCCACGGAAACAAGCGGAUUAGGGGAAACCAUCACUUCUGGUUUUUCCUCUCAGGAAAGUAUACACAGUUUAAGAGGUUCGACCAGGACGAGGGGGGAUACGGGGGGGUUGAGUCUUACCCCAGAGGAAGCUGAGGCUCAUAGACGUGAGUUGCAAGCGCGGGGGACAGGGAGGGGGGAUAUGAGAACGGAUAGUAAGAAAAAUAAAGACCGGUCCAGGAUGAAUGACCAUUACAACAGCGGUCCUGGACAUUCGAACUAUAACGAGUACUUCGCCCAGGGGACGACGGUCAUGGAUACGCUAUCCCCAAUGGGGCUCCAAAGGGAGCAUAUUGAUGAGGAGUGGGACAAACGGAGUGGGAGCCGGAGGAGUUCCGCCAUCAGCAGGUCAUCCCAGGGCGGAUCCAUAAAGUCCCGGAGCUCCGUCAGGGCCAAGUUUCUUGGAGCCUCUUUAGGGUCCCAGUGGGCCAAAUGGUCGAAUGACAGACGUGCGUCUUUUCGACGCCGUAUCGAAAUGAUAGAGAAUUCCGAACGGAAAAAAGAAAGAACUUCCACGCCUGUUAAAAAGGCAAGACAGGAAGGAUUAAAAUUCGUUCAUCCGGAUUUGGAACGGAAGUACCUUUCGGAGGAUGACAUCAAGGAGUUACGCAGGCACAAGCAGGAGCAAUACAACGCUUAUCGUGUGAUUGAGAAAGGGAAAAAGAAAAGUCGGUUUACGUCUGCUGAAGUUCAGUUGUCGAUGCAUCAGUGGCAUGUGCUGAGCGAAUUCUGGGAACACGAGGUGUUUGUACGGUUACGAUGGCUUGGCGUGUUCGUCAGCAUGGUGACGACCUUAGUGAUGAUCAUCAGUAUAACUAACGCCAACUGGCACGCAUACGAGCUGAAACCACCGCACAGUGUCUUGAAUUUGUCAAUAUACGAAGGAUUAUGGGUGAACUGCACACAUUCCUCCAAUGCAACAUCACCAGAUUUUAUAUGCAAUGCAACGAGCGGAAGAGACUGGCAGAAUGCUGUGGUGGGGCUGAUGAUAUUUGCUGCGACGUUUGGCUUCGUGGCGUCAAUGCUGUCUAUAUGUGGCGUAUGCACCACCCCUCUCCCAAGGAAAAUUUACUACUUCCAUUCCGCCGGAGAAAUAUUCCUCGUCUGCGCCUUAAGUACAGGCGUCGCCUUGAUAAUCUUCCCCGUGGCAGUAGAACUAGAUCAUACCAUCCUCUCCCACCGGUACGGCAUCGGCUACGGCCUUGGCUGGGGAGGUGCCUUCUUCUUCUUUGCAGCCGCCAUUUGCAUGACCUUGGACGAGUUGGUGCGAGAGUCGGCGAGAGUUAAGUGUUGCAAGUGGUGUUGGAAAGGCAGCGGCUCUGAGAGGACAGAAUUACGCCAAGUCUGAUAGGACGCUGCCUAUUUGUUGAGGCUGGAGGCCUAUUAAAUGCUCAUGAUGUGUGAACAUAUGUUCGACAGUUUCGUGAUCGGACCAAGACAAUCCAGUUGCAUAUUACAAUCCUUUUCUUGUCUGAAAAUAUGGAUGGUUUUGCGAAUCUUGAGGCAUAGAAAGAAACAAUAAGUUCGAGUCAUCGUUAUGAUAGGAAAUCAUUUAAGAUAAAAGAGUUCAAUACAGGGUGCAAGAUAUGGUAAUAUGAAAUCACGGGAACAAACAAGGAUGUUUUGAAAGGACGUGUGACUAGUUUUGUUAAAUUGUUAAGUAGUUGUGUCUAAUAGCAUGUGACGUCACGCCACGCCCUGUCUUGUCAGGAGUUUUGUGUUGGGAAAAGGUUAUUUCAGUGACUUGUCAUUCGGAACAACUCGGGUCAUUCCGAGAGGUCUCGGAAAGGGGCGAGUGGUGGCGAAUGUUGCGCUUGUUACCUUUUCAACAUGGGCUCCUGAACCUUGGACCCAGGAUGAAAUAUCAGAGCAUACUACCAGUAUUUUCUGUCCUUUGGGCUUAUACGUGAGCAGUACAUACGUGAACAUGAUACAAGCCCACUGGGCUUAAACUUGAACAUGAUACAGGUCCACCGAGUUUAUUCGUGAACAGGAUACAAACCCAAUGGGCUUAUACGUGAACAGGAUAUCAAGUCCACGGGUUUAUACGUGAACAGGAAACAGUCCACUGGACUUAUACGUGAACAGGAUACAGGUUCACCGGGUUUAUACGCAAACAGGACAGAAGCCCACUGGGCUUAUACAUGAACAGGAUACAGGUCCACCGAGUAUAUUCGUGAACAGGAUACACGUCCUCUGGGUUCAUACUCAAACAGGAUACAAGCCGACUGGGCUUAUACAUGAACAGGAUACAGGUCCGCCGAGUAUAUUCGUGAACAGGAUGCACGUCCACUGGGCUUAUUCGUGAACAGGAUACAGGUCCACCGAGUAUAUUCGUGAACAGGAUACAGGUCUAGUGGACCAAUACAUAAACUCCUUGUACCCGUUGAUCCCUUCUGAACAGACGCUGUGACGUAUAUCGUGUGUGGGUCAACCAUUUUUAUAGGACUUCUUGAAGGAAUAUUACCCACUGGAGUAUGUCCCAGAAUUUUGCCUUUCAACCACUGAAGAGGAGAUUUCAUAUUUAUUUUCAAUUAUACUCAAGGUGGAGUGACGACCGUGUUCUCCAAAGCCACUGUGAUGUCAUUGUACUGUGGUUCCUCUGGUGCUUGGUGAAGCGACCAGGGUUAGUGUACACUGUAUCGUGUAGGUACCUACACCUUUCAUCACACGACCUAUUGUUAUCUUUUGACUUUUUAACAUUGUCAUUGACCAUUGUAGCUUACGAUAGGACCUUUUUCAGUCCAUGUAGUUCCUGUUUUGUAAUCAUUUUUUAUACGGCAGAGUAAGUAGGUGUUUGCGAUAGGAAUACAAUGAGAUUAGUUCGCCAGCCUAGACGAGUUCAGUGGUAGUCCCUGAAUGGAAGCUCGAAAAGUGCAUAAUCAAACAAACGGAAUGUGAUUAUUUUAAUAAUGCUCUAGUCAGUGUUGUUGACACGAGAGUUAAACUGCAUAAUAGUUAGACCGUUUUAUUUCAACACAAGACGAGGCAAAAGUGAUGCUAGGGCUUCUGAAACUUGGUAAGAUCAAGGUGGAGAAUAGGUCUUAAGCAACCCAUGCUUGCCGUAAGAGGCGACUAACGGGAUCGGGUGCUCACUGUCUUGGUUGAUGCAUGUUAUCGUAUCCCAAUUACGUGGAUCGAUGCUUAUGAUGUUAAUCACUUGAUUGUCUGGUCCAGACUCGAUUAUUUACAGACCGCCGUCAUAUAGCUUGAAUAUUGCUGAGUGCGGCGUUAAACAAACAAACAAACAAACACGGUUACCGCUGGUCGUGGGUAUCGUUCCCGAAGUCGCAUAUGUCAGCGCAAGGGACUUGACUGACCUUUGCACCGAACUUGCAAAGUCUACGACCUCAUUCAUUGUAGAUCUGACCCCGUGUGUACCUUAAAUCCUGUUCAAGACGAUGUAAAGCCUAACUUACUCACCCCCCCCCCCCCUUAAUCAGUUUGUUGUGGCCUUGAAUUAUUUUAAUUUGCAUAUCCAACUUUAUCAAAAUCCCAGACGCCAUAUCUCGUGCAUGCGCGUUUCACAAUGCGUUCCGAUAUUCACAUAAGCAAUUUCUAUUUGUAUCUUCAAUUAUUAUUAUUAUUAUUAUUAUUAUUAUUAAUAUUAUUAUUAUUAUUAUUCUGAAGUGUGAACCCGUACCAGCAGCUUCAGUUCAUCUACUGGGCUGUGUCAUCAGAUAUUCUCAAACCUUUUGUUGUAUAUAGUCACGUCCCAGUGACAUUUAUUUUGUAUUUCUUGAAUCGUCGUUUCUACUUUUUAGCUCUCUCUUUACAGUGCAUCUAUUCUUUUGGGCAAUACUCAGUCAUAAUGUUGUGAUAGAUUCAAACGGCAUCAAUCUCAGAUCUAUUCACAUGAAGAAGUGUUAUACAUGUUACCACGAUAUUCAAUCGACACUCGUAAACUGACACCAUCAGCUCGAAAAGUUGAAAUAUCUCCCAUGUAAUAAACAAUACAUACAGUACUCUGAAUCAACUUCGAGGCCCAUUUAAGGCGUCAAAUAGCCGGAAUAUUGCCAAAAGCGGCGUAAAAACAAACUCACUCAAUUUGGAGAUAACUCGAGUCGGUUGUGUGCAAGGCAAGGAUUUAGCACCGUGUGUACAUAGUGUAGCGGAAAUGGACUAUUUUUUUCUCAAAUUUAUACAUUUCACUUUUUCUACAAAUAUCUCAAACGUCUAGUCCCAGGGUUGUCCUAUUAUAACAGUUUCUUGUGGUGACCUCGAGAUCAGGUAACAGCAUGAUCGUUUAUACCUUUUGUACAUGCCGUAACGAACACGUAGCAUUUUUCCUGUCCUCGCGUUCAGCACACAUUGCUUCCUUGUUUCCUUGACCAUGAGAAACAUGGCUGCUUUUAUAACGUCGUGCGGUAGAAACCUCCUCAUCUUCAUGAUCAGAAAUACCCAGGACGAUAAUAACUGGAGAGUGAGUGUUAUCUACCCCCAUCAGCAUCGCCUUCACACGUUUGUGUGGCAGCGACUAUUUAACUUCAUUUUCAAUUUUUGUGCUUGACCAAAAUGCGCUUUUCCCCACCGUGAUUUGAGUCACUAGCCUGUACCUUCAAAGUCCUGUGCUUGAAGAUAUUUAACGUGGGAGAUCGAUCAAGAUUUCCCCAAAUGUCCGUUGUGCGACACUUACGGAUGAUUAAAUAACAAACAUGCCUCUGUUGCAUUGUUAAAGUGCAGGAGCUGAACAGGUUUGAUUUUCAUUGUUUCAAUUAUUCAUAACCAUGUGUUUUGGUGUUUUGAUAAUUAAAGCGGUUAGAUGUUUUGCAUUUUUAAAACGUCCAAUAUCUUGAGUUACAAGCACCUAUAUGUUGAAAGGUCAAGAGAAACGUUAAUUUAACUGUUUUUCAAAAUAUAUAAGAGUUGAGUAACGUUACUUGGAAGUACUCAUUUAGACAUCCGUGUCCAUUCUGUGGUAAUAAUGCUCAUAUGAAACAAGAGACGCGGAUGGCCAGUCGUUUAAGGCGCCGCAAUUAGCUGUGCAGGGUUGCGUCCCUUGGACACACCAGAAACCAAUGAGUAUGGGUUCGAAUCCCGGUUCGACCCGAUUAUGUUUCUAGCUUUGUCAGCACCAUACCCGUGGGUGUCACCGAAGUGGUUAACGUCUUAGACCUGCAUCAUUUCGGGUUUCCCUCCAAAAUUAAGCAGACACGCUAUUAUAUCACUGGCCAGUUGUCUCAGGUGUUACCAGGAAAGCAGAAAAGGGGUUAAUCAAGGUACAGGGUAAUGAAUCCAUAUCAUACAAGGAUCAAAGUAUUUCAUGACCAUUUUCCGACGAUGUGACGUUAUUUUCGUCAGCAUGACUAUAUGCAUCUCGUACAUUUUUUGCUGCUGGGCCAUAGACAAUUUUUAUCAUACUUCGAAAAAAUAAUAUUAUAGUUCUAAGGCCAAAUGACUCCGUUUUUCAACUUUUUGCUGUUUCUUUCAAGACGUGUUUAUUCCUGCCAUUUUUUUCUGAGGCGAAAUUACAUUGCAUGACCUUCAUGGGUGAAGAUGACCUUAUAUGAGCGCACGCACGCACACACACACACACACACACACACACACACACACACACACACACACACAGGCACACACACACACACACAGGCACACACACACACACAGGCACACACACACACAGGCAGACACACACACACAGGCACACACACAGACACACACACACAGGCACACACACACGGACACACAAAACAGACAAGCGGGGUGUUCUCGUUACUCAUUACGGGUGAUAUGGCAGACAGAAACGCAUCAAUUAUACACGUGUUGACACAUUACUGGUGUAUAUUACACACAGUGAACACAAAAGGGUAGACUGGCAUUAAGUCCCAGAAAUAAAGUUAUCCCGAUUUAGAAUAUAUAUCAGCAAAAUAAAAACCAUAAAAUUUAAAAGGAGCCCCAAACAAUCCUUAAUUUCAGAGCUGAGGACAUCUCGACAAGCCAAAUCAUUCUAGACUUGAGUUGGACUAUUAAAAUUUAUUCUCUGAGGUCUGGGAUACAGACUAACACAUGGGGUGUAUUUUAACUCCAGACACACAUAGAUGGUACGCGUACAUAAACAUUAGGGGGGUACAGUAACUCCACACAAGGGCAGUACUCUACACAAUACACGUCACACACACAGGUGUACGCAUACAUACAGUAACUCCACACAAGGGGUGUACUCUACACAAUACACGUCACACACACAGGUGUACACAUACAUACAGUAACUCCACACAAGGGCAGUACUCUACACAAUACACGUCACACACACAGGUGUACACAUACAUACAGUAACUCCACACAAGGGCAGUACUCUACACAAUACACGUCACACACACAGGUGUACGCAUACAUACAGUAACUCCACACAAUGGGUGUACUCUACACAAUACACGUCACACACACAGGUGUACACAUACAUACAGUAACUCCACACAAGGGGUGUAUUCUACACAAUACACGUCACACACACAGGUGUACGCAUACAUACAGUAACGGGUAGUGUGGACUAACAGACACGGGGUAUAAACAGGAGGAAGCCAAAUCCGAACACAUGUGUACCUGUCGACAAACGAACUCCCCGACACACCCGAAAGUACCCGAAUAGAGACCACGUUUUGUUGCACGUUUCUCUGUCUUCCGCCGUUUGCUCAACACCGUUGGUUCAUAUUAAUCUGUAUUUUUGGUUUCCGGAUGCCUGUUCUUGAUAUUUCCUUACCAUGUAAAAUAAAUGAUUAUUCACCUACUCCUAA